rnacentral:rRNA from 1 species
UUGAGCAUCAAACUUUUAAAUUGAAGAGUUUGAUCAUGGCUCAGAUUGAACGCUGGCGGCAGGCCUAACACAUGCAAGUCGAACGGUAACAGAAAUCAGCUUGCUGAUUUGCUGACGAGUGGCGGACGGGUGAGUAAUGUCUGGGAAACUGCCUGAUGGAG